rnacentral:rRNA from 1 species
AGAGUUUGAUCCUGGCUCAGGAUGAACGUUGGCGGCGUGCCUAACACAUGCAAGUCGAACGAAAGUAGCAAUACUUUAGUGGCGCACGGGUGAGUAACACGUAGCUUACCUCCCUCUCAGCGCGGGAUAACGGCUCGAAAGAGCUGCUAAUACCGCAUAAGCUCACGGGUUACAGAGACUUGUGAGAAAAGGCUUAGGUCACUUUGAGGUGAGGCUGCGGCCCAUCAGCUAGUUGGUAAGGUAAAAGCUUACCAAGGCGAAGACGGGUAGGGGACCUGAGAGGGUGACCCCCCACACUGGGACUGAGACACGGCCCAGACUCCUACGGGAGGCAGCAGUGAGGGAUAUUGCACAAUGGGCGCAAGCCUGAUGCAGCAACGCCGCGUGGGUGAAGAAGGCCUUCGGGUCGUAAAGCCCUUUUCUGGGUGACGAGAGAGGACGGUAGCCCAGGAAUAAGUCUCGGCUAACUACGUGCCAGCAGCCGCGGUAAAACGUAGGAGGCGAACGUUAUCCGGAGUUACUGGGCGUAAAGCGCGUGUAGGCGGCGUGACAAGUCCGGCGUGAAAGCCCCCGGCUAAACUGGGGGAGGCCGUCGGAGACUGUUGUGCUAGAGUAUGGCAGAGGGACAUGGAAUUCCGGGUGUAGUGGUGAAAUGCGUAGAUAUCCGGAGGAACACCAGUGGCGAAGGCGACCACGCUGGGGCCAUACCUGACGCUUAAAGCGCGACAGCAUGGGGAGCAAACGGGAUUAGAAACCCGGUUGUCCACUGCCCGUAAACGAUGCAGCUAGAUUUCAGGAAUCGCAAGAAGCCGGGGUCUCGAAAGCACAACGCGAUAAGUGUGCCGCCUGGGGAGUGCGGUCGCAAGGCUAAAACUCAAAGGAAUUGACGGGGGCCCGCACAAGCAGCGGAGCGUGUGGUUUAAUUCGAGGCUACGCGAAGAACCUUACCUGGACUUGACAUGCUGGUGGUAGGGAAGCGAAAGCGGACCGACCUACGGGAGCCAGCACAGGUGCUGCAUGGCUGUCGUCAGCUCGUGCCGUGAGGUGUUCGGUUAAGUCCGCAAACGAGCGCAACCCUUGGGUCUAGUUAUACGUGUCUAGACCGACUGCCCGCGAGAAGCGGGAGGAAGGUGGGGAUGACGUCAAGUCAGCAUGGCCUUUAUGUCCAGGGCUACACACACGCUACAAUGGGCAGUACAAUGGGUCGCAAAGCCGCGAGGUGGAGCCAAUCCCCCAAAGCUGUUCGUAGUUCGGAUUGUAGGCUGCAACUCGCCUGCAUGAAGUCGGAGUUGCUAGUAAACGCAGGUCAGCUACACUGCGUUGAAUACGUUCCCGGGCCUUGUACACACCGCCCGUCACGUCAUGGAAGCUGGUCAUGCCUGAAGUCGGGGAGCUAACCGCAAGGAGGCAACCGCCGAAGGCGGGGCUGGUGACUGGGACGAAGUCGUAACAAGGUAGCUGUAGCGGAAGCUGCGGCUGGAUCACCUCCUU